GACGAACGCUGGCGGCGUGCUUAACACAUGCAAGUCGAACGGUAAGGCUCCAGCUUGCUGGGGUACACGAGUGGCGAACGGGUGAGUAACACGUGGGUGACCUGCCCUGCACUUCGGGAUAAGCCUGGGAAACUGGGUCUAAUACCGGAUAGGACCGCACCGUGAGGGUGUGGUGGAAAGUUUUUUCGGUGUGGGAUGGGCCCGCGGCCUAUCAGCUUGUUGGUGGGGUAAUGGCCUACCAAGGCGGCGACGGGUAGCCGGCCUGAGAGGGUGGACGGCCACAUUGGGACUGAGACACGGCCCAGACUCCUACGGGAGGCAGCAGUGGGGAAUAUUGCACAAUGGGCGGAAGCCUGAUGCAGCGACGCCGCGUGGGGGAUGACGGCCUUCGGGUUGUAAACUCCUUUCACCAUCGACGAAGGGUUUCUGACGGUAGAUGGAGAAGAAGCACCGGCUAACUACGUGCCAGCAGCCGCGGUAAUACGUAGGGUGCGAGCGUUGUCCGGAAUUACUGGGCGUAAAGAGCUCGUAGGUGGUUUGUCGCGUCGUCUGUGAAAUUCCGGGGCUUAACUCCGGGCGUGCAGGCGAUACGGGCAUAACUUGAGUACUGUAGGGGAGACUGGAAUUCCUGGUGUAGCGGUGAAAUGCGCAGAUAUCAGGAGGAACACCGGUGGCGAAGGCGGGUCUCUGGGCAGUAACUGACGCUGAGGAGCGAAAGCAUGGGGAGCGAACAGGAUUGGAUACCCUGGUAGUCCAUGCCGUAAACGGUGGGCGCUAGGUGUGGGUUUCCUUCCACGGGAUCCGUGCCGUAGCUAACGCAUUAAGCGCCCCGCCUGGGGAGUACGGCCGCAAGGCUAAAACUCAAAGGAAUUGACGGGGGCCCGCACAAGCGGCGGAGCAUGUGGAUUAAUUCGAUGCAACGCGAAGAACCUUACCUGGGCUUGACAUACUGAGGACCGGUAUAGAGAUAUACCCUCUUCUUCGGAGGCCUCAAUACAGGUGGUGCAUGGUUGUCGUCAGCUCGUGUCGUGAGAUGUUCAGUUAAGUCUGGCAACGAGCGCAACCCCUAUCUUUAGUUACCAGCAUUUCGGAUGGGGACUCUAAAGAGACUGCCGAUGAUAAAUCGGAGGAAGGUGGGGAUGACGUCAAAUCAUCAUGCCCUAUAUGCCCUGGGCUACACACGUGCUACAAUGGAAGAUACAAAGGGAAGCGAAAUAGUGAUAUUAAGCAAACCUCAAAAAGUCUUUCCCAGUUCGGAUUGUACUCUGCAACUCGAGUACAUGAAGAUGGAGUUGCUAGUAAUCGCAGAUCAGAAUGCUGCGGUGAAUGCGUUCCCGGGUCU
rnacentral:rRNA from 1 species